CCUUUGGGAGCAGGUGGGAUUGGUCCGAAUUCCUAUGGAGCAAGUGGGAUUGGUCUGAAUUCCUUUGGAGCAGGUGGGAUUGGUCCGAAUUCCUUUGGAGCAGGUGGGAUUGGUCCGAAUUCCUUUGGAGCAGGUGGGAUUGGUCCGAAUUCCUUUGGGAGCAGGUGGGAUUGGUCAGAAUUCCUUUGGGAGCAGGUGGGAUUGGUCCGAAUUCCUUUGGAGCAGGUGGGAUUGGUCCGAAUUCCUUUUGGAGCAGGGUGGGAUUGGUCCGAAUUCCUUUUGGAGCAGGUGGGAUUGGUCCGAAUUCCUUUGGGAGCAGGUGGGAUUGGUCCGAAUUCCUUUGGAGCAGGUGGGAUUGGUCCGAAUUCCUUUGGGAGCAGGUGGGAUUGGUCCGAAUUCCUUUGGAGCAGGUGGGAUUGGUCAGAAUUCCUUUGGGAGCAGGUGGGAUUGGUUAGAAUUCCUUUAGGAGCAGGUGGGAUUGGUCAGAAUUCCUUUGAAGCAUGUGGGAUUGGUCAGAAUUCCUUUGAAGCAGGUGGGAUUGGUCCGAAUUCCUUUGGGAAUAGGUGGGAUUGGUCAGAAU
ensembl:lncRNA